rnacentral:lncRNA from 1 species
CGGGUUUCCCUGAUUUUACCGAUCAGACAAUACUCGGAAUUCACCUUGAACUCGUUAAGAUUUUGACAGAAAAUCAAUAAUCAGCUGAUUGCAUUUAUAGCUAUAGACAUCAAAGGACUAAUCAAUAAAGGUGUUGAUUGUAUGAUAUGACAAAAUGAUAUGGUUAAAUGGCUUCUGUCAAAUGUCACAAAAGAGAUUUAUUAACCACUUCGCGACGCACGUGUUUGAAGUAAAAUUUUUACGCUUCCUCUCUUUCUUUUAAUGAUAGUCCAGAAAAGAAAACUGUUGUUAUGACGAAAAA